rnacentral:tRNA from 3 species
GAGAUUCAUAGGUUGCAUAGGGAUUUCUAAUUCUGCUGUAAGCGGUUCGAUUCCGUUUGAAUUUCU